CCUACGGGUGGCAGCAGUGGGGAAUAUUGGACAAUGGGCGAAAGCCUGAUCCAGCCAUGCCGCGUGAGUGAAGAAGGCCUUCGGGUUGUAAAGCACUUUCAGUGGGGAAGAAAGCCUUGGGGCUAAUACCCUCGAGGAAGGACAUCACCCACAGAAGAAGCACCGGCUAACUCCGUGCCAGCAGCCGCGGUAAUACGGAGGGUGCGAGCGUUAAUCGGAAUUACUGGGCGUAAAGCGCGCGUAGGCGGUCUGAUAAGCCGGUUGUGAAAGCCCCGGGCUCAACCUGGGAACGGCAUCCGGAACUGUCAGGCUAGAGUGCAGGAGAGGAAGGUAGAAUUCCCGGUGUAGCGGUGAAAUGCGUAGAGAUCGGGAGGAAUACCAGUGGCGAAGGCGGCCUUCUGGACUGACACUGACGCUGAGGUGCGAAAGCGUGGGUAGCAAACAGGAUUAGAUACCCUUGUAGUC
rnacentral:rRNA from 1 species